CUCCGUUUCACAAUGUAAGUUAUUCUAGCAUUUUCCACAUUCAUAUUGAUGUUAAUGAAUCUAAACAUAUAUAUCUAUCUAGGUUUAUUAACAUCAAUAUGAAUGUGGGAAAUGCUAGAAUGACUUACAUUGUGAAACGG
rnacentral:misc_RNA from 1 species